ACGGGGGGAGCAAGCGUUGUUCGGAAUCACUGGGCAUAAAGGGCGCGUAGGCGGCUUUCUAAGUCAGGGGUGAAAUCCGGCAGCUCAACUGUCGCAGUGCCUUUGAUACUGGAGAGCUCGAGGGAGGUAGGGGUCUGUGGAACUUCCGGUGGAGCGGUGAAAUGCGUUGAUAUCGGAAGGAACGCCGGUGGCGAAAGCGACGGACUGGAUCUCUUCUGACGCUGAGGCGCGAAAGCCAGGGGAGCAAACGGGA
rnacentral:rRNA from 1 species